UACGUAGGGGGCAAGCGUUGUCCGGAAUCAUUGGGCGUAAAGAGCGUGUAGGCGGCCCGGUAAGUCCGCUGUGAAAGUCCAGGGCUCAACCCUGGGAUGCCGGUGGAUACUGUCGGGCUCGAGUCCGGAAGAGGAGUGUGGAAUUCCUGGUGUAGCGGUGAAAUGCGCAGAUAUCAGGAGGAACACCAAUGGCGAAGGCAGCACUCUGGGAUGUGACUGACGCUGAGACGCGAAAGCGUGGGGAGCAAACAGG
rnacentral:rRNA from 1 species